UCGGCAAUGAUCGGACGUGGUC
rnacentral:miRNA from 1 species